rfam:Arabidopsis thaliana chromosome 1, complete sequence.
GAGCUGUGAUGAAAUUGGCAGUAGUGAUGGUUGGGUCCUUCGCAUUAUUCUUAUUUCUCAGAUGAAAUUGUCACAUUUCUGAGCUC